UGAGAAAACAGACCCCUUGAAGAUGAAGAUCCUGUCGUAGAAUAUUGCAGGAUGAGCUAAUUACAAAAGAGUGGACCUUACAGUUACCAUCAACUCAUUCAAAUGAUCACAGUGGACUUUCAUAUGAGGGACAGGUCCACCUGUCUCUGCAAUAUUACUGAUAUUUUGCAGAUCAAGAGGUAUUUUUGGUUCAGUAAGCAAAUUUAAAUCAAUAUAGCUGAUUCUACCUCAUUGCUCUCAGCAUGGAAUCUCAAGCAAUCUAUUUCAUCAGAAUGGAGUCCUUCAAAGCUUUGCUGCUGUCGUAUGGGACAUUAAAUUAUAUUUCCCCACCUAUUUUUAAUGUUAAUUAUCAAGAAGCAAAAUAGUUUGCCAAUGAUUGUUGAGCUGCCAAGGAAGAGCUCCUGCACAUCAGACUGUAAGUCAAUUGCCUUUCCUAACUUGUGCAUGUUAACAAGCGGAACUCAAACGCUUGCUUAUUCUACAGAUUGAAUAAUAUCCAGCCAGUCCAAACAAUACAGUGAAGAUGCAUUCAAUUUUUCUUGAAGCUCUCAUUUCCCACUCACUUUGCACUUAGGAGUCAUUAUGCUGCUCUGUGGGUAACGAGGGUUUCCUUCCUGCCAUCUCUGUCGUUGUCUGCGAAGACGUAUCUGUCACAAAUCUGCCACUCAACAAAUGUGUCAACCACCACCACCAAACCACACCUGAAGUAUAAAAUAUAUUUUUCUGAGCUUGACAAUAAUAAAAAAAUCAGGUACAUAAUAAAGUAGCAUUAUGUGUCACAGCAAUAA